GAUGAAGAACGCAGCGAAAUGCGAUAAGUAAUGUGAAUUGCAGAAUUCAGUGAAUCAUCGAAUCUUUGAACGCAUCUUGCGCUCCUUGGUAUUCUGAGGAGCAUGCCUGUUUGAGUGUCAUUAAAUUCUCAACUACACUGACUUUGAAUUGGUGUGGCUUGGAUUUGGGGGGAAAAUUGUUGUGGGCUUUUUGUAUAGUCUGCUCCCCUGAAAUUGAUUAGCGGUACCUUAGUGGAACUGUCUACAGGUGUGAUAAUUAUCUACAUCUUAGACAUCUGCUGGAAUGCUGCUUUCUAAACCUUACUUGUAUUGACAAUCUUGACCUCAAAUCAGGUAGGACUACCCGCUGAACUUAAGCAUAUCAAUAAGCGGAGA
rnacentral:misc_RNA from 1 species